rnacentral:rRNA from 1 species
UGGGGAAUUUUGGACAAUGGGGGCAACCCUGAUCCAGCAAUGCCGCGUGUGUGAAGAAGGCCUUCGGGUUGUAAAGCACUUUUGUCCGGAAAGAAAACGUCGUGGUUAAUACCCGUGGCGGCUGACGGUACCGGAAGAAUAAGCACCGGCUAACUACGUGCCAGCAGCCGCGGUAAUACGUAGGGUGCAAGCGUUAAUCGGAAUUACUGGGCGUAAAGCGUGCGCAGGCGGUCCGCUAAGACAGAUGUGAAAUCCCCGGGCUUAACCUGGGAACUGCAUUUGUGACUGGCGGGCUAGAGUAUGGCAGAGGGGGGUAGAAUUCCACGUGUAGCAGUGAAAUGCGUAGAGAUGUGGAGGAAUACCGAUGGCGAAGGCAGCCCCCUGGGCCAAUACUGACGCUCAUGCACGAAAGCGUGGGGAGCAAACAGGAUUAGAUACCCUGGUAGUCCACGCCCUAAACGAUGUCAACUAGUUGUCGGGUCUUCAUUGACUUGGUAACGUAGCUAACGCGUGAAGUUGACCGCCUGGGGAGUACGGUCGCAAGAUUAAAACU